CACUCGGUAGCACAUGGUGCGCAUCUGCUCCUCUUAGUCAAAUCCCGGGUUCUCCAGAGUAUGCAGAAGGUCCCCGUUCGACUCGGGGUCGGGUGA